rnacentral:rRNA from 1 species
UACGGGGGGGGCAAGCGUUGUUCGGAAUUACUGGGCGUAAAGGGCUCGUAGGUGGCCAACUAAGUCAGACGUGAAAUCCCCUCAGCUUAACUGGGGAACUGCGUCUGAUACUGGAUGGCUUGAGUUUGGGAGAGGGAUGCGGAAUUCCAGGUGUAGCGGUGAAAUGCGUAGAUAUCUGGAGGAACACCGGUGGCGAAGGCGGCAUCCUGGACCAAUACUGACACUGAGGAGCGAAAGCCAGGGGGAGCAAACGGG